UCCGCGGCGUCACCGGCCCGCGUCAGACGUGUGGAGUGUCGCUCGUCCGCCGCGGCCACGAUUAACUGGAGAUUUUUUUCCCUCGUCCCUUGCUCAGUGUGUGUUCCUUCCUCGGUGCUGACUGCGUGCUGAGUCCCGCCGCGCCCCCUCAGCACUGGGUUGGGUGUGUUGGAUUGGCUAGUUUGCCUGCUAGGGAGAAAGAGGAAAAGAAAGAAAAGAGAAAGAAGGAAAGAGGUAAAACUCAUGAAAUAUAAUUGGAGGAAACUAGAAAGGAGAAAGUGAAAGAAAAAACAAACUUGACCAGAAAGAAAAAAAGUGAACAUCAAAAAGAAAAAAAAACAC